UACGUAGGGGGCAAGCGUUGUCCGGAAUUAUUGGGCGUAAAGAGCUCGUAGGCGGUCCAUUAAGUCGGAAGUGAAAUCUCAGGGCUCAACCCUGAAAUUGCUUUCGAUACUGGUGGACUUGAGGCAGGUAGGGGAAGGUGGAAUUCCUGGUGUAGCGGUGAAAUGCGCAGAUAUCAGGAGGAACACCAAUGGCGAAGGCAGCCUUCUGGGCCUGUUCUGACGCUGAGGAGCGAAAGCGUGGGGAGCAAACAGG
rnacentral:rRNA from 1 species